rnacentral:rRNA from 1 species
UACAGAGGGGCAAGCGUUGUUCGGAAUUACUGGGCGUAAAGGGCGCGUAGGCGGCCUGUUAAGUCAGACGUGAAAUCCCUCGGCUCAACCGGGGAACUGCGUCUGAUACUGGCGGGCUUGAAUUCGGGAGAGGGAUGUGGAAUUCCAGGUGUAGCGGUGAAAUGACGUAGAUAUCUGGAGGAACACCGGUGGCGAAGGCGGCAUCCUGGAC